GCAUAUCAAUAAGCGGAGGAAAAGAAACCAACCGGGAUUGCCUCAGUAACGGCGAGUGAAGCGGCAAGAGCUCAAAUUUGAAAGCUGGCCCCUCCGGGGUCCGCGUUGUAAUUUGCAGAGGAUGCUUCGGGCUCAGCCCCCGUCUAAGUGCCCUGGAACGGGCCGUCGGAGAGGGUGAGAAUCCCGUCUGGGACGGGGUGCCUGGGUCCAUGUGAAGCUCCUUCGACGAGUCGAGUUGUUUGGGAAUGCAGCUCUAAAUGGGUGGUAAAUUUCAUCUAAAGCUAAAUACUGGCCGGAGACCGAUAGCGCACAAGUAGAGUGAUCGAAAGAUGAAAAGCACUUUGAAAAGAGAGUUAAACAGCACGUGAAAUUGUUGAAAGGGAAGCGCUUGCGAUCAGACUCGCCUGCGGGGUUCAGCCGGCAUUCGUGCCGGUGUACUUCCCCGUGGGCGGGCCAGCGUCGGUUCGGGUGGCCGGUCAAAGGCCCCGGGAAUGUGUCGCCCUCCGGGGCGUCUUAUAGCCCGGGGUGCCAUGCGGCCUACCUGGACCGAGGAACGCGCUUCGGCUCGGACGCUGGCGUAAUGGUCGUAAGCGACCCGUCUUGAAACACGGACCAAGGAGUCUAACAUCUACGCGAGUGUUUGGGUGGCAAACCCAUACGCGCAGUGAAAGCGAACGGAGGUGGGAACCCUUCGGGGCGCACCAUCGACCGAUCCUGAUGUCUUCGGAUGGAUUUGAGUAAGAGCGUAGCUGUGGGGACCCGAAAGAUGGUGAACUAUGCCUGAAUAGGGCGAAGCCAGAGGAMACUCUGGUGGAGGCUCGCAGCGGUUCUGMCGUSCAAAYCGMUCGUCAAMUYUSGGUMUAGGGGCGAAAGACUAAUCGAACCAUCUGGUAGCUGGUUCCUGCCGA
rnacentral:rRNA from 1 species